ACAAAAUAGAAACAAACGUGUUGCAAACAGUUCGCAACUAUAAAUUUGAUCAUAUUGAUACAACAGUGCCUCGUCGUGUACCAAUAGGUGCGUCAACAGUAUUUAUCUUCCGGACGGGAUUUGAUAGCAGUUGUAGCAGCGGUCUGUUCAAACAUGGAUGCAUCAGUUGCCGCACCUCGACGCCGAAACAAGACUACUUCUAAUGAAGACAGGAACCGGGUGAUAGUAGCGUUUGAAAACGGAACAUCCGGAAAAGAUAUCGCCACAAUGUUGAACAUGAAUCGUGGAACUGUUUAUAGUAUUAUAAAAAAGUUCCAAAACACUUGGGAAGUUGCGGCUGCUAAACGGGGUGGCAAUCGUGCAAAACUGUUAUCGGAAGAGGCUGCUCAAAGCAUUCGUGCUUGGAUAGACGAAGACUGCACUGUCACGUUGAAGGCAUUGGUAGAAAAGGUAUACGAAAGAUUUAACGUGCGUGUGAGUACGACGACAGUAGACCUCGCGAACUGUUUACGCAGUUUAUUUAUGAGCUCAAAGAAAAAUUGAGGAUGCGCGAAAUUCAUCGAACAUUUAUGGUCAUGGAUAACGUGGCUUUCCAUAAGAGUAGCGAGGUGAAGGAAGCAAUAGGCUACGACGAAGAUAAACCAGUUUAUUUGCCUCCCUACUCGCCAUUUCUAAACCCGAUAGAAAAUCUUUUUAGUAAGUGGAAAAAUUUAGUAAAAAGAGCCAACGCACAGAAUGAGCAGGAAUUAAUGGAAGCUAUCACAAAUUGUGCUAACCUUGUCACUUCCCAAGAUUGUGAAGAGUACUUUAGGAAUAUGG